rnacentral:rRNA from 1 species
UUCCGGUUGAUCCUGCCAGACCCGACUGCUAUCAGAGUGGGACUAAGCCAUGCGAGUCAACGUAGAAAUACGUGGCAAACGGCUCAGUAACACGUAGUCAACAUGCCCAGGGGACGUGGAUAACCUCGGGAAACUGAGGAUAAACCGCGAUAGGCCAUGAUUUCUGGAAUGGUUCAUGGCCGAAAUCUAUAUGGCCCCUGGAUUGGACUGCGGCCGAUCAGGCUGUUGGUGAGGUAAUGGCCCACCAAACCUGUAACCGGUACGGGCUCUGAGAGGAGGAGCCCGGAGAUGGGCACUGAGACAAGGGCCCAGGCCCUAUGGGGCGCAGCAGGCGUGAAAUCUCUGCAAUAGGCGAAAGCUUGACAGGGUUACUCUGAGUGAUUCCCGCUAAGGGGAUCUCUUGGCACCUCUAAAAAUGGUGCAGAAUAAAGGGUGGGCAAG